rnacentral:rRNA from 1 species
CAGCCGCCGCGGUAAUACGAAGGGUGCAAGCGUUAAUCGGAAUUACUGGGCGCAAAGCGUGCGUAGGCGGUUUGUUAAGUCUGUUGUGAAAUCCCCGGGCUCAACCUGGGAAUGGCAAUGGAUACUGGCAAGCUAGAGUGUGUCAGAGGAUGGUGGAAUUCCCGGUGUAGCGAUGAAAUGCGUAGAGAUCGGGAGGAACAUCAGUGGCGAAGGCGGCCAUCUGGGACAACACUGACGCUGAGGCACGAAAGCGUGGGGAGCAAACAGGAUUAGAUACCCCAGUAGUCCCUGUCUCUUACAC